UACAGAGGGGGCAAGCGUUAUCCGGAAUUAUUGGGCGUAAAGGGCGCGUAGGCGGCUUUUCAAGUGGCGGGUGAAAUCCCUCGGCUUAACCGAGGAACUGCCUGCCAGACUGGAUGGCUUGAGACCGGGAGAGGUGAGUGGAAUUCCCAGUGUAGCGGUGAAAUGCGUAGAUAUUGGGAGGAACACCAGUGGCGAAGGCGGCUCACUGGACCGGUACUGACGCUGAGGCGCGAAAGCGUGGGGAGCAAACAGG
rnacentral:rRNA from 1 species